GACGAACGCUGGCGGCGUGCUUAACACAUGCAAGUCGAACGGUGAAGCGCCUUCCUUUUUGGUGGGUGUGGAUGAGUGGCGAACGGGUGAGUAACACGUGAGUAACCUGCCCCCUUCUUCUGGAUAACCGCAUGAAAGUGUGGCUAAUACGGGAUAUUCUGGGUCUGUCGCAUGAUGGGUCUGGGAAAGAUAUUGUUUCGGUGGGGGAUGGGCUCGCGGCCUAUCAGCUUGUUGGUGGGGUGAUGGCCUACCAAGGCGGUGACGGGUAGCCGGCCUGAGAGGGUGGACGGCCACACUGGGACUGAGACACGGCCAAGACUCCUACGGGAGGCAGCAGUGGGGAAUAUUGCACAAAGGGAGCAAGCCUGAUGCAGCGACGCCGCGUGAGGGAUGGAGGCCGUCGGGUUGUGAACCUCUUUCGCCAGUGAAGCAGGCCUGCCUCGUUUGUGGGUGGGUUGACGGUAGCUGGAUAAGAAGCGCCGGCUAACUACGUG
rnacentral:rRNA from 1 species